rnacentral:rRNA from 1 species
GACGAACGCUGGCGGCGUGCUUAACACAUGCAAGUCGAACGGAAAGGCCCUGCUUUUGUGGGGUGCUCGAGUGGCGAACGGGUGAGUAACACGUGAGUAACCUGCCCUUGACUUUGGGAUAACUUCAGGAAACUGGGGCUAAUACCGGAUAGGAGCUCCUGCUGCAUGGUGUGGGUUGGAAAGUUUCGGCGGUUGGGGAUGUACUCGCGGCUUAUCAGCUUGUUGGUGGGGUAGUGGCUUACCAAGGCUUUGACGGGUAGCCGGCCUGAGAGGGUGACCGGCCACAUUGGGACUGAGAUACGGCCCAGACUCCUACGGGAGGCAGCAGUGGGGAAUAUUGCACAAUGGGCGGAAGCCUGAUGCAGCAACGCCGCGUGCGGGAUGACGGCCUUCGGGUUGUAAACCGCUUUCGCCUGUGACGAAGCGUGAGUGACGGUAAUGGGUAAAGAAGCACCGGCUAACUACGUG